GCCAUAGACACCGUAGACAUUUCCGUUUAAUCAAUUUGUGCCUUUGGAUCUAAUCGUACAGCAUAUUUUCAAGCAGAACCAUGGGCUCCGAGUUGUCCGACAACGACGACUUUGCGGUUGGACCAACACCAGAGAGUGGCCGCAUGCCAAAGACUCCGCCGAUAAAACAAGAGCUUUUUCUGCCUUUGGAUUAAAUUGUUCAACAUAUUUUCAAGCAGAGCCAUGGGCUCCGAGAUUCCCGACAUCGACGACUUUGCGUUUGGUUCAGGAUCAGAGAGUGGCCGCAUGCCAAAGACUCUGCCGAUAAAACAAGAGCUUUUUGUGCCUUUAGAUCUAAUUGUGCAACAUAUUUUCAAGAACCAUGGGCUCCGAGUUCUCCGACAACGACGACUUUGCGGUUGGGCCAGCACCAGAGAGUGUCCGCCUGCCAAAGACUCCGCCGAUAAAACAAGAGCUUUUUGUGCCUUUAGAUCUAAUUGUGCAACAUAUUUUCAAGGUAUUUUAAAAAAGUUUGCACCCUUUUUUUAAUUGUUAGACCAUU